AUUGAACGCUGGCGGCAUGCCUUACACAUGCAAGUCGAACGGCAGCACGGGUGCUUGCACCUGGUGGCGAGUGGCGAACGGGUGAGUAAUACAUCGGAACGUACCUUAUCGUGGGGGAUAACGCAGCGAAAGCUGUGCUAAUACCGCAUACGCCCUGAGGGGGAAAGCGGGGGAUCGAAAGACCUCGCGCGAUUAGAGCGGCCGAUGCCUGAUUAGCUUGUUGGUGGGGUAAAAGCCCACCAAGGCGACGAUCAGUAGCUGGUCUGAGAGGACGAUCAGCCACACUGGGACUGAGACACGGCCCAGACUCCUACGGGAGGCAGCAGUGGGGGAAUUUUGGACAAUGGGGGAAACCCUGAUCCAGCAAUGCCGCGUGAGUGAAGAAGGCCUCGGGUUGUAAAGACUCUUUUGUCUAGGGAAGAAAUACGCACAGGCUAAUACUCUGUGUGGAUGACGGUACCAGCACAAGAAG
rnacentral:rRNA from 1 species